AAAAAAAAAAAAAACUAAAUUUAGUAUAAUAGUUGCUAUUUUCUGACCAUGUAUUAUAUGCCAGGCACUGUGUUAGUUAUUUUACAUACAUUGUUGAUAAUUCUCACAACAAUCCUACAUAAUAUGUAUUACUAUCCCCCUUUUAUAAAUGAAGAAACUGAAAGAGAAAUUAAAUACUCUGCCCAGUCACAGAACUGGCAAGUGAGAUUGUAACGCAUUUUACGUUUUGCUUUGAACUGCAAUUUUCAAGCUCUCCUUGUGGCAAGAGAAACUCAAAAAUAAAAAUAAAACUGGCCGGGCGUGGUGGCUCACGCCUAUAAUCCCAGCACUUUGGGAGGCCGAGGCAGGUGGAUAACGUGAGGUCAGGAGUUCGAGACCAGCUUGACCAACAUGGAGAAACCCCGUCUCUACUAAAAAUACAAAAUUAGCUGGGUGUGGUGGUGCAUGCCUGUAAUCCCAGCUACUCGGGAGGCUGAGGCAGAAGGAGAAUCGCUUGAAUCCGGGAAGCAGAGGUUGUGGUGAGCUGAUAUCGCACCAUUGCACUCCAGCCUGGGCAACAAGAGUGAAACUCCGUCUAAAAAAUAAACAAAUAAUAAAAACAGUUCAGUAGUUAGAGUAACCAGGAAUAUUCAUGGAGUAAUUUAAAGGUGCAGAAAGCUAUCAGGUACCAAAACAGCUAUUUUUAUUGGCCUAAUAUUGUGUUUGUGCUUCACAUCAUCAAAUAAUCUUUUGGGUUGGAUCUAGUAUUUUAAAUAGAAGGCCUUGUUAAAGCAGAAUAUGAGUUUGUGAAGGCACACAUUGUUUGUCUCCAGAUUAAUUCAAUGUGUUAGCGAAGUGUCCUGGAGCAGGAUCUCGUGUCAAUCCAUGGGACAACUAUCCUUAAAAGGGUGCUGGGCCACUUUUACCUAUAUGCCUAGGGAACUUUUGCUUGUGGAAAACAUGACCUACUCCCAUAGGCUGUUGUCACCUUAAAUAAUACUUUAUUUUAGGGAUGGAAGAGAUUUGGGGUAUCCUUUUCAUUUGGACUCAUAUGCAUAUGCGUAACCUUACAAUCUGGUAUGUUACAGGAUACCAUUGCAGUUUUCUACCGAGCCCACUAUGUAAUAUUCAAAAUUAUACCUGAAUGUCCUUAGAGAAAAUGUGAUAACCUGGGAAAAAUGUGUAAUAAUAACCUGCUGAACCUUUUAAUAAUGACUUGCCACAAGUAAAAUAUUCUCAUUUACACCUAUACCUAUCUAAUCUACCUGGUUUACAUCCUUCUCUGCGAAACAGCUAGUAAACUAGUGAUUAAUCUUCCUCUUUAUUCUACAACAUCUUUCAGACCAAAGGCCAAAUUUUAUAUUUUAGCAGGUUUCAUUUUAUUGAUAUAUUAUUACUCACUUUUUCAAAAUUGAAUCAUUGCUGUACUGAGAAAUACCAAAAAGUAUAAUAUGAUCCCUGCCUUCCCUUACCCAACAAUUUCCUGGGUUGGCCUUGUCUCCUCCAUGCCUAUCCAGGAAAUUGUUGCAUUCAAGUAAGAUGACAUGUAAGGGCCCAAGUAAGUGGUAAAUUACAUGCUCAAUAUGUGUUUGAAGAGCCAAAGAAGACUUCAGUUGAGGAAAUGAUGUUGAACAGGGUCUCGAAAAGAUGUAUGAGACAUCAAUAGAAAAAGUGAAGAGAGGCAGGGCACGGUGGCUCACGCCUGUAAUUCCAGCACUUUGGGAGGCCAAGGUAGGUGGAUCAGGAGGUCAGGAGUUUGAGACCAGCCUGACCAACAUGGUGAAACCCUAUCUCUACUAAAAGUACAAAAAUUAGUCAGGCAUGGUGGCACGUGCCUGUAAUCCCAGCUACUCAGGAGGCUGAGGCAGGAGAAUCGCUUGAACCUGGGAGGUGGAGAUUGCAGUGAGCCAAGAUGGUGCCAUUGCACUCCAGCCUGGGCAACAGAACGAGACUCCAUCUCAAAAAAAAAAAAAAAAAAAGAAAGAAAAGAAAAUAAAAGAAAAAAAAAAGUGAAGACAAUAUUUGAAGUGACCAGAAGUAAGGGAGGACAUGGACUGGAAAUAAAACAGACAAAGUGGAUCCAAACAGAUAGUAUAAUUUUUGAAAGCCAGAUCCAAGUGUUUGGGCUGCUGUCAUAGACAGUAGGGAGAACAAAGUUUCUGAGGAAGGAAGAAGCUUGAUAGAAGCAAUGUGACGAGGUUUGGACUGACAAGUAUGCAGGAUAGAUUAGAAGGGGAGGGAUUGCACUGGGGACAUGAGAGAAACUACAAAUAAAAUGCAAUUUCCAUUGUGACCAGUAAGUCCUAUUUUCAAGGAGCAUCAGAAAAAUUUUUUUGAACAUCUAAUGUGUGGCAAAUACUAUUCUAGGAGAUAAACAGCCCUGCUCUCAAGUUGCUCACAGUAGAUUUGGAGAAAAUUAUAGUACAAAUUCAAUUGUUAUGGAAGUGAAAGCCCAGGAUGUUGUGGGAGUACAUGGCAAAGAUACUUAAUCCAGUCUUGCUGAAUUGGGUAACUUUUUGAUAACUAUGAUGACUGUCAAAAUGUGAAUAAGAAUUAAGAGAUGAGCAAUGACUCUCUAAGCAGAGUUACAGUAUCCACAAAGCCCUAGAAAGCUUGAGAGGGUAGAGUUUUUUCAGGGGGAUGAGAGGACAUUCAAUGAGAGUAGGAUAUGAGAUGUUAUAUGGAAGGAUGGAGAGAGAUGACUACACACACAGCUAUUACAGAGGGUUAGCAUGCUGUUCUUAGAGUUUGAACUUAACCUAGAAGUCAUGGAAGAAUUUAAACAAUGGGGUUUCAAAAUAGGUAACUCAGUUGGUAGUAUAUAGGAUGAAUUGAGAGGAAGGGAGAAACAUAGAAAUACAUAUACCUGGCCGGGCCUGGUGGCUCACACCUGUAAUCCUAGCACUUUGGGAGGCCAAGGCAGGAAGAUUGCUUAAGGCCAAGAGUUCAACACCAACCUGGCCAACAAAGCAAGACCCUGUCUCUAUUAAAAAAUAAAUAAAAAAGAAAGAAAUACAUAGAACGGUAUGGUGCUGGUGAGAGAUAAUGAAAGCCUUAAACCAAGGUAGAGUCAGUGAUGGCAGAGAAGAGGGAGCAGAUUGGGUCUGGGUUAAAGAGAAUCAGUAGGACCCAGUGAACCAUUAAGAUGAGCAUUGGAGAGAGAAAGACUGUUAACUUCAGGGUUCUAAUUUGGAAAGGGAGGUUAAUGAAAAAUCUCAGGGAAUGUGCAGCUGACAAAGGGUCCUGCCUUUAUAAGUUUUAAAAAUAGAAAAAUUUUUAUAUAUUGUCUUGUUAUUAUAUCAUGUGUUCAAAUUUUUGGUUCCGAAAAUAUAGGUAGACAACUUUCACCUAUGGUCUCUGCAGAAAUGCUUCAAGAAUUGAGCCUUCCCUGGGGCUGUCAUAACAAAGCACGGCAGACUGAGUGGUAUAAACAGAAAUGUAUUUCUCACAAUUCUGGAGGCUAAAGGUCUGAGAUCAAGCUGUCAGCAGGAUCUUCACAUGGUUCUUG
rnacentral:lncRNA from 1 species